GGGCUCGUAGUUCAGUCUGGCAGAACGUCCCCCUUGCAACGAACUUCAAGCGCAAAGUUCGACCAUGCGCUUCCG
rnacentral:tRNA from 1 species